GAAAGUAAGAAAGGGCGUAUGGCGGAUGCCUAGGCUCACGGAGGCGAUGAAGGACGUGAUAAGCUGCGAUAAGCUUCGGGUAGGUGCAAAUAACCUUUGAUCCGGAGAUUUCCGAAUGGGACAACCUAGCCGUCUGAAGGACGGUUACUCUUACCAAUGUAAGAGAGCUAACGCAGGGAACUGAAACAUCUUAGUACCUGCAGGAAGAGAAAAUAAAUGAAUGAUUCCCCCAGUAGUGGCGAGCGAACGGGGAACAGCCCAAACCGUUGACGUCGCAAGGCGCCAGCGGGGUUGUAGGACCGCGACAUUGUACUGAAAUGGUGAGUGGAAGUAUCUGGAAAGUUACAUCACAGAAGGUGAUAAUCCUGUACACGAAGCCAAAUCAAGCAUAGCGGUAUCCUGAGUAACGCGGGACACGAGGAAUCCUGCGCGAAUCUGCCGGGACCAUCCGGUAAGGCUAAAUACUCCCGUGAGACCGAUAGCGAACGAGUACUGUGAAGGAAAGGUGAAAAGAACCCCGAGCAGGGGAGUGAAAUAGUUCCUGAAACCAUACGCCUACAAGCGGUCGGAGCAUCGCAAGAUGUGACGGCGUGCCUUUUGCAUAAUGAUCCUACGAGUUACCGUCACUGGCGAGGUUGAGUGUCACGAGACACGUAGCCGCAGUGAAAGCGAGCCUGAAGAGGGCGCACAGUCAGUGGGGGUAGACGCGAAACCAAGUGAUCUACACUUGGCCAGGAUGAAGUCCCGGUAACACGGGAUGGAGGUCCGCACCAAUAAGCGUUGAAAAGCUUCUGGAUGAGCCGAGUGUAGGAGUGAAAGGCCAAUCAAACUUGGAGAUAGCUCGUACUCCCCGAAAGGCAUUUAGGUGCCGCGUCGGAUGGUCACCGUGAGAGGUAGAGCGACCGAUAGGACAAGAGGGCUUCACCGCCUAUCGAGUCCUGACGAACUCCGAAUGCUCACGGUCUGCAGUCCGGCAGUAAGGGGGCGGGUGCUAAGGUCCGUCCCCGAGAGGAGAAGAAUCCAGACCGUCAUCUAAGGUCCCGAAAUUCUGUCUAAGUUAGUCUAACGAAGUGUGGUCCCCGUGACAGCUAGGAUGUUGGCUUGGAAGCAGCCAUUCAUUCAAAGAGUGCGUAACAGCUCACUAGUCGAGGGUCCGGGCAUGGAUAAUAAUCGGGUAUAAGGCAGACACCGAAGGCGCGGGAUAGCAAUUAUAAAAGUAUCGGUAGGGGAGCAUACUCACAGCGUCGAAUGGUGUACGUAAGUUAUCCUGGAGCGGUGAGUAAAGCAAAUGUAGGAAUAAGUAACGAUAAGGAGGGUUAGAUUCCCUCCCGCUGUAAGACCAAGGUUUCCCGGGCAAUGCCAAUCAGCCCGGGGUCAGUCGGGUCCUAAGUCUAAGCCGAACGGCGAUGGCGAUGGCAGAGACGGUUAAUAUUCCGUCACUGCCGCAUGGGGCGACGUGGAGACGGAGCAGUGAAACCACCGCGGGGCGACGGAAGUCCCCGUUGAAGAGUGUAGGUGUUGAGGAUGGCAGGCAAAUCCACCAUCCGAGCUGAACUUGACAGUAUGGAGUCUUCUUCGGAAGAAUCCAAUAGUGUGGGUAAUCAUACUCCCGAGAAAAUCCGCUAAGCUUAACCCAUGCGGCACCCGUACCGCAAACGGACACACGUGGUCGGGUAGAACAUACUAAGGCGUUGAGAGAUUCAUGGUUAAGGAACUAGGCAAAUUGACCCUGUAACUUCGGGAUAAAGGGUCCUCGUGAUGAGCGAGGCGCAGAGAAUAGGUCCAGGCAACUGUUUAACAAAAACACAGGGCUGUGCAAACUCGAAAGAUGAGGUAUACAGCCUGACACCUGCCCGGUGCCGGAAGGUUAAGAGGAGAUGUCACUCUUUGGGAGGAAGCAUUGAAUUGAAGCCCCGGUAAACGGCGGCCGUAACUAUAACGGUCCUAAGGUAGCGAAAUUCCUUGUCGGGUAAGUUCCGACCUGCACGAAUGGUGUAAUGAUCUGGACACUGUCUCAACCGUGAGCUCAGUGAAAUUGUAGUAUCGGUGAAGAUGCCGAUUACCCGCGAUGGGACGAAAAGACCCCGUGAACCUUUACUAUAGCUUA
rnacentral:rRNA from 1 species